rnacentral:rRNA from 1 species
UUGGAAACAGGUGCUAAUACCGUAUAACAACAAAAUCCGCAUGGAUUUUGUUUGAAAGGUGGCUUCGGCUAUCACUUCUGGAUGAUCCCGCGGCGUAUUAGUUAGUUGGUGAGGUAAAGGCCCACCAAGACGAUGAUACGUAGCCGACCUGAGAGGGUAAUCGGCCACAUUGGGACUGAGAACCCCG